rnacentral:rRNA from 1 species
CCUACGGGGGGCAGCAGUGAGGAAUAUUGGUCAAUGGGCGGAAGCCUGAACCAGCCAAGUAGCGUGAGGGAUGAAGGUACAGAGUAUCGUAAACCUCUUUUGUCAGGGAACAAAGGCGGGGACGCGUCCCCGGAUGAGUGUACCUGAAGAAAAAGCAUCGGCUAACUCCGUGCCAGCAGCCGCGGUAAUACGGAGGAUGCGAGCGUUAUCCGGAUUUAUUGGGUUUAAAGGGUGCGCAGGCGGUCUGUUAAGUCAGCGGUCAAAGCCCGGGGCUCAACCCCGGCCCGCCGUUGAAACUGGCAGUCUCGAGUUGGAGAGAAGUAUGCGGAAUGCGCGGUGUAGCGGUGAAAUGCAUAGAUAUCGCGCAGAACUCCGAUUGCGAAGGCAGCAUGCCGGCUCCACACUGACGCUGAGGCACGAAAGCGUGGGUAUCGAACAGGAUUAGAUACCCCAGUAGUC